rnacentral:rRNA from 1 species
GUUUGACCUCGGAUCAGGUAGGAAUACCCGCUGAACUUAAGCAUAUCAAUAAG